UUUUGGCAGGGGCCUUACAGGUGCGCGCUUCGGUCCGGGAGGCCUUAUCCUAGCCUCCUCUCCAUCAGCGCCACCCUCUGGGGCCCAACAGGAGGGAGCUUUCCCCCUGUUCCCAGCUUUGGACUGUUACCCAAGCAAGCCAUUCGUUCACAAAUAUUAUUAAGCACCUACGAUGUGCCUGGCAAGGGAGUUGUAACAAAAUUUCCUGUCUGCUCCGCUCUGGUUGAAGAAACCAGUCCGACUGUCUCUGAGGCUAUGGAGCAGUCCAUCAGGAAUGAAAGCCCUCGGCCAGGCACGUUGGCUCACACCUGUAAUACCAGCACUUUGGGAGGGCGAGGCAGGUGGAUUACUUGAAGUCAGGAGUUGGACACCAGCAUGGCCAACAUGGUGAAACCCUGUCUCUACAAAAAGUAAGAAACUCUGCUAUCCACAGGCAUGUAGAAGUUGCUGGUCCCAUCUUGCUCACAAUCCUCCAAAGUUUGAAAGUUAUUUUCCAGGAGACUUGGCUUGCACUGAGAGUUGCCCUCCCACCCCUCCUCCAAAUUUCCUCUUGGG
rnacentral:lncRNA from 1 species